CUGGUUGAGGACCUUCUGCAGGUGCGGCGUGCCCAUGCGGUCGGCCAUGUGCCGGUAUGCCGGGUGUGAGAGGAAGAACUUGCGCUCGGCCGCCAGCGCCGCACGGAUGUCCUUCUUGCCAUCGAUGUCCUUCUGGCUGCGGUUCACCACGCCGAUGUAUCCUCUGCGCAGCGGCAGCAGUUUGUUUUCCAGCACGUCCCGGGCGUCGGUGCCCUCAUCCAUCAGGUCCAGUUUGGUGAUCACACCGAUGGUCCGCAGGCCCUGCGGAUCCACCUCCUUGGCCAUCUUGAGCGCGUCCGAGUUGGCCAGGUCCAUGUUGGCGGGCGUGACGGCGAGGAUGAGGCUGCUCUCGCGGCCGAUGAACUGCAGGAUCAUGUCGCGGAUCUGGUACUCGAUGUCCUGCGGCUGGUCGCCCACCGGCACCUUGGUGAUCCCCGGC
rnacentral:lncRNA from 1 species